UAAUGUCUGGGAAACGUGCCUGAUGGAGGGGGAUAACUAACUGGAAACGGUAGCUAAUACCGCAUAAUGUCGCAAGACCAAAGUGGGGGACCGUUCGGGCCUCAUGCCAUCAGAUGUGCCCAGAUGGGAUUAGCUAGUAGGUGGGGUAAUGGCUCACCUAGGCGACGAUCCCUAGCUGGUCUGAGAGGAUGACCAGCCACACUGGAACUGAGACACGGUCCAG
rnacentral:rRNA from 1 species